UCCUUGGUGAUCCAGUGGUAAGACUCUGUGCUCCCAAUUCAGGAGGCCCGGGUUCGAUCCCUGGUCAGGGAG
rnacentral:tRNA from 1 species